GUAACAAGGUCUCCGUUGGUGAACCAGCGGAGGGAUCAUUACCGAGUUUACAACUCCCAAACCCCUGUGAACAUACCUAUACGUUGCCUCGGCGGAUCAGCCCGCGCCCCGUAAAACGGGACGGCCCGCCCGAGGACCCCUAAACUCUGUUUUUAGUGGAACUUCUGAGUAAAACAAACAAAUAAAUCAAAACUUUCAACAACGGAUCUCUUGGUUCUGGCAUCGAUGAAGAACGCAGCAAAAUGCGAUAAGUAAUGUGAAUUGCAGAAUUCAGUGAAUCAUCGAAUCUUUGAACGCACAUUGCGCCCGCCAGUAUUCUGGCGGGCAUGCCUGUUCGAGCGUCAUUUCAACCCUCAAGCUCAGCUUGGUGUUGGGACUCGCGGUAACCCGCGUUCCCCAAAUCGAUUGGCGGUCACGUCGAGCUUCCAUAGCGUAGUAAUCAUACACCUCGUUACUGGUAAUCGUCGCGGCCACGCCGUUAAACCCCAACUUCUGAAUGUUGACCUCGGAUCAGGUAGGAAUACCCGCUGAACUUAAGCAUAUCA
rnacentral:rRNA from 1 species